rnacentral:tRNA from 1 species
CCUUCGAUAGCUCAGCUGGUAGAGCGGAGGACUGUAGGGGAAACAUAGUAAUCCUUAGGUCGCUGGUUCAAUUCCGGCUCAAAGGA